AAUGAACGCUGGCGGCGCGCCUAAUACAUGCAAGUCGAGCGAGAAGACGUAGCAAUACGUUUGUAAAGCGGCGAACGGGUGAGGAAUACAUGGGUAACCUACCCUAGAGUGGAGAAUAACUAGCCGAAAGGUUAGCUAAUACCGCGUACGCUCCUUGGACUUCGGUUCAGGGAGGAAAGCGAUGCCGAGGGUAUCGCGCUCUUGGAUGGGCUCAUGUCCUAUCAGCUGUUGGUGAGGUAACGGCUCACCAAGGCUUCGACGGGUAGCUGGUCUGAGAGGACGAUCAGCCACACUGGCACUGCGACACGGGCCAGACUCCUACGGGAGGCAGCAGUAAGGAAUAUUGCGCAAUGGGCGAAAGCCUGACGCAGCGACGCCGC
rnacentral:rRNA from 1 species